rnacentral:rRNA from 1 species
GACGAACGCUGGCGGCGUGCCUAAUACAUGCAAGUCGAGCGGAGCUUAUCCUUCGGGGUAAGCUUAGCGGCGGACGGGUGAGUAACACGUAGGCAACCUACCCUGUAGUCUGGGAUAACUACCGGAAACGGUAGCUAAUACCGGAUAACUCCUUUCUUCUCCUGAAGAAAGGAUGAAAGGCGGAGCAAUCUGCUACUAGAGGAUGGGCCUGCGGCGCAUUAGCUAGUUGGUGGGGUAACGGCCCACCAAGGCGACGAUGGGUAGCCGACCUGAGAGGGUGAACGGCCACACUGGGACUGAGACACGGCCCAGACUCCUACGGGAGGCAGCAGUGGGGAAUUGUUCACAAUGGGCGCAAGCCUGAUGACGCAACGCCGCGUGGGGGAUGAAGGUCUUCGGAUCGUAAACCCCUGUCGAACGGGACGAAAGACUCUGGAGCUAAUCAUCCGGAGAGUGACGGUACCGUUAAAGGAAGCCACGGCUAACUCUGUGCCAGCAGCCGCCGUAA